rnacentral:hammerhead_ribozyme from 1 species
GCACUGCUGACGAGUCUCAUGCCAGGAUGAAACGGCCGUCCAGUGC